UUGAAUGUUCUGAUUUCUAUUGUUCAGACCGAAGGACAGGACCACCUUCUCCACCGUGGUGGAGACGACGGACCUGGAGAGGAUGGCCUCAGCGUGCCUGAAAGUGGCUCCUGGGUUCAGCUGGCGUUGGACCGCAGACCUCAGCCUGCACGGAGUUGAGACAGCCACAGGACUGGGAGCAGGUGGAGGUGUCUGUGUCUGUACAGGGGGGAUCGGACUCAGUUGAGCUUCCAGCUCCUGUGGGGUCGAAUCAAUAAUUGUGUCCUGUCCCUCAUACACACAGGGGUUACGAUGAAGGGAGACAUCAGGCCCGACCUCCUUGGCUGGAGUGCGUUUCACCCUCUGGGCCUUAGGUGAGGCCUCCCGGGGGGCAGGGGAGAGGAAAGUCUCCUCACCCACUGCAGGAGACCACUCACCCUGGGCCGGCUCGGUCAUUGUGGCUACGGAGACAGGCCCCGCCGCAGGGUGCCCGCGUCGAGGCGACGGCCCAGGUUCUUUCGCGCCCAGGAAGAAGCCACCUCGAGCGGAGCACGCCAGUGGUGAGCAGACAUUUUGCUCAGUUUCACCACUUCAGCCUCCAUCACUGCCUCAUAAUGCUCCCUUAAAAUUAUCAUGGUUGUGUAU